rnacentral:rRNA from 1 species
UACGAAGGGGGCUAGCGUUGCUCGGAAUCACUGGGCGUAAAGGGUGCGUAGGCGGGUCUUUUAAGUCAGGGGUGAAAUCCUGGAGCUCAACUCCAGAACUGCCUUUGAUACUGAAGAUCUUGAGUUCGGGAGAGGUGAGUGGAACUGCGAGUGUAGAGGUGAAAUUCGUAGAUAUUCGCAGGAACACCAGUGGCGAAGGCGGCUUACUGGUCCAUAACUGACGCUGAGGUGCGAAAGCGUGGGGAGCAACA